rnacentral:rRNA from 1 species
GACGAACGCUGGCGGCGUGCUUAACACAUGCAAGUCGAACGGAAAGGCCCUGCUUUUGUGGGGUGCUCGAGUGGCGAACGGGUGAGUAACACGUGAGUAACCUGCCCUUGACUUUGGGAUAACUUCAGGAAACUGGGGCUAAUACCGGAUAGGAGCUCCUGCUGCAUGGUGGGGGUUGGAAAGUUUCGGCGGUUGGGGGUGGACUCGCGGCUUAUCAGCUUGUUGGUGGGGUAGUGGCUUACCAAGGCUUUGACGGGUAGCCGGCCUGAGAGGGUGACCGGCCACAUUGGGACUGAGAUACGGCCCAGACUCCUACGGGAGGCAGCAGUGGGGAAUAUUGCACAAUGGGCGGAAGCCUGAUGCAGCAACGCCGCGUGCGGGAUGACGGCCUUCGGGUUGUAAACCGCUUUCGCCUGUGACGAAGCGUGAGUGACGGUAAUGGGUAAAGAAGCACCGGCUAACUACG